rnacentral:rRNA from 1 species
AAAAUGGAGAGUUUGAUCCUGGCUCAGAGUGAACGCUGGCGGCGUGCCUAAUACAUGCAAGUCGAACGGACAAGUAAGAGCUUGCUCUUAUGAGUUAGUGGCGCACGGGUGAGUAAUGUAUAGUUAAUCUGCCCUACACUGGAGGACAACAGUUAGAAAUGACUGCUAAUACUCCAUACUCCUUCUUAGCACAAGUUAAGUCGGGAAAGUUUUUUCGGUG